ensembl:snRNA LOC120095493 U4 spliceosomal RNA
AGCUUUGCGCAGUGGCAGUAUCGUAGCCAAUGAGGUUUAUCCGAGGCGCGAUUAUUGCUAAUUAAAAACGACUAAAGUUGUAAGAUUUAAAACUAUAUUACUAUCUUGGGGGAAGUUGGCAGGUUUUGUAAUUGUAGACAAUGCCAUGAGCA